rnacentral:rRNA from 1 species
GGUUAAGCGACUAAGCGUACACGGUGGAUGCCCUGGCAGUCAGAGGCGAUGAAGGACGUGCUAAUCUGCGAUAAGCGUCGGUAAGGUGAUAUGAACCGUUAUAACCGGCGAUUUCCGAAUGGGGAAACCCAGUGUGAUUCGUCACACUAUCAUUAACUGAAUCCAUAGGUUAAUGAGGCGAACCGGGGGAACUGAAACAUCUAAGUACCCCGAGGAAAAGAAAUCAACCGAGAUUCCCCCAGUAGCGGCGAGCGAACGGGGAGGAGCCCAGAGCCUGAAUCAGUGUGUGUGUUAGUGGAAGCGUCUGGAAAGGCGCGCGAUACAGGGUGACAGCCCCGUACACAAAAAUGCACAUACUGUGAGCUCGAUGAGUAGGGCGGGACACGUGGUAUCCUGUCUGAAUAUGGGGGGACCAUCCUCCAAGGCUAAAUACUCCUGACUGACCGAUAGUGAACCAGUACCGUGAGGGAAAGGCGAAAAGAACCCCGGCGAGGGGAGUGAAAAAGAACCUGAAACCGUGUACGUACAAGCAGUGGGAGCCUCUUUAUGGGGUGACUGCGUACCUUUUGUAUAAUGGGUCAGCGACUUAUAUUCUGUAGCAAGGUUAACCGAAUAGGGGAGCCGAAGGGAAACCGAGUCUUAACUGGGCGUUAAGUUGCAGGGUAUAGACCCGAAACCCGGUGAUCUAGCCAUGGGCAGGUUGAAGGUUGGGUAACACUAACUGGAGGACCGAACCGACUAAUGUUGAAAAAUUAGCGGAUGACUUGUGGCUGGGGGUGAAAGGCCAAUCAAACCGGGAGAUAGCUGGUUCUCCCCGAAAGCUAUUUAGGUAGCGCCUCGUGAAUUCAUCUCCGGGGGUAGAGCACUGUUUCGGCAAGGGGGUCAUCCCGACUUACCAACCCGAUGCAAACUGCGAAUACCGGAGAAUGUUAUCACGGGAGACACACGGCGGGUGCUAACGUCCGUCGUGAAGAGGGAAACAACCCAGACCGCCAGCUAAGGUCCCAAAGUCAUGGUUAAGUGGGAAACGAUGUGGGAAGGCCCAGACAGCCAGGAUGUUGGCUUAGAAGCAGCCAUCAUUUAAAGAAAGCGUAAUAGCUCACUGGUCGAGUCGGCCUGCGCGGAAGAUGUAACGGGGCUAAACCAUGCACCGAAGCUGCGGCAGCGACGCUUAUGCGUUGUUGGGUAGGGGAGCGUUCUGUAAGCCUGCGAAGGUGUACUGUGAGGUAUGCUGGAGGUAUCAGAAGUGCGAAUGCUGACAUAAGUAACGAUAAAGCGGGUGAAAAGCCCGCUCGCCGGAAGACCAAGGGUUCCUGUCCAACGUUAAUCGGGGCAGGGUGAGUCGACCCCUAAGGCGAGGCCGAAAGGCGUAGUCGAUGGGAAACAGGUUAAUAUUCCUGUACUUGGUGUUACUGCGAAGGGGGGACGGAGAAGGCUAUGUUGGCCGGGCGACGGUUGUCCCGGUUUAAGCGUGUAGGCUGGUUUUCCAGGCAAAUCCGGAAAAUCAAGGCUGAGGCGUGAUGACGAGGCACUACGGUGCUGAAGCAACAAAUGCCCUGCUUCCAGGAAAAGCCUCUAAGCAUCAGGUAACAUCAAAUCGUACCCCAAACCGACACAGGUGGUCAGGUAGAGAAUACCAAGGCGCUUGAGAGAACUCGGGUGAAGGAACUAGGCAAAAUGGUGCCGUAACUUCGGGAGAAGGCACGCUGAUAUGUAGGUGAAGCGACUUGCUCGUGGAGCUGAAAUCAGUCGAAGAUACCAGCUGGCUGCAACUGUUUAUUAAAAACACAGCACUGUGCAAACACGAAAGUGGACGUAUACGGUGUGACGCCUGCCCGGUGCCGGAAGGUUAAUUGAUGGGGUUAGCGCAAGCGAAGCUCUUGAUCGAAGCCCCGGUAAACGGCGGCCGUAACUAUAACGGUCCUAAGGUAGCGAAAUUCCUUGUCGGGUAAGUUCCGACCUGCACGAAUGGCGUAAUGAUGGCCAGGCUGUCUCCACCCGAGACUCAGUGAAAUUGAACUCGCUGUGAAGAUGCAGUGUACCCGCGGCAAGACGGAAAGACCCCGUGAACCUUUACUAUAGCUUGACACUGAACAUUGAGCCUUGAUGUGUAGGAUAGGUGGGAGGCUUUGAAGUGUGGACGCCAGUCUGCAUGGAGCCGACCUUGAAAUACCACCCUUUAAUGUUUGAUGUUCUAACGUUGGCCCCUGAUCGGGGUUGCGGACAGUGUCUGGUGGGUAGUUUGACUGGGGCGGUCUCCUCCUAAAGAGUAACGGAGGAGCACGAAGGUUGGCUAAUCCUGGUCGGACAUCAGGAGGUUAGUGCAAUGGCAUAAGCCAGCUUGACUGCGAGCGUGACGGCGCGAGCAGGUGCGAAAGCAGGUCAUAGUGAUCCGGUGGUUCUGAAUGGAAGGGCCAUCGCUCAACGGAUAAAAGGUACUCCGGGGAUAACAGGCUGAUACCGCCCAAGAGUUCAUAUCGACGGCGGUGUUUGGCACCUCGAUGUCGGCUCAUCACAUCCUGGGGCUGAAGUAGGUCCCAAGGGUAUGGCUGUUCGCCAUUUAAAGUGGUACGCGAGCUGGGUUUAGAACGUCGUGAGACAGUUCGGUCCCUAUCUGCCGUGGGCGCUGGAGAACUGAGGGGGGCUGCUCCUAGUACGAGAGGACCGGAGUGGACGCAUCACUGGUGUUCGGGUUGUCAUGCCAAUGGCACUGCCCGGUAGCUAAAUGCGGAAGAGAUAAGUGCUGAAAGCAUCUAAGCACGAAACUUGCCCCGAGAUGAGUUCUCCCUGACUCCUUGAGAGUCCUGAAGGAACGUUGAAGACGACGACGUUGAUAGGCCGGGUGUGUAAGCGCAGCGAUGCGUUGAGCUAACCGGUACUAAUGAACCGUGAGGCUUAACCUU